rnacentral:lncRNA from 1 species
GCUAAUAAUGCGUUAAGGAGAGGGGUUAAAAGCAGGAGCUCACAGCGGUUGCAGCGAUACGCUCAGCAGGCUUGGAGAUGGUGUGGUACGGGUGAAUCAGCGGUGACGAUAUUGGUGGUCGGAGGUUGAAGGAUGGGUCAGUGACGCGCUACAUGGGCUCUGUCGGAGGUGGAGCUCGUGGACACAUCGGAGGGGCGAGGAACGGUGGUGGCUAUGAGUACGGUGGUGGAAAGUUUCGGCGGGGCUCGGCCAUGGCCAUAAGAGGCGAGGAAGAGCGAGGCAGGAAGAAAUGGGGAUGUGUCUUAGAUCCACACGGAUCUAGCGAGGUUAUCUAGCUCGCUACCGCGACAUGGUCAGCAGGAGGUGGAAAGGCAUGUGCUCA